GAUGAACGCUGGCGGCGUGCUUAACACAUGCAAGUCGAACGGUGAAAGAGAGCUUGCUCUCUGGAUCAGUGGCGAACGGGUGAGUAACACGUGAGCAAUCUGCCCCUGACUCUGGGAUAAGCGCUGGAAACGGCGUCUAAUACCGGAUACGAGCUGCGAAGGCAUCUUCAGCAGCUGGAAAGAACUUCGGUCAGGGAUGAGCUCGCGGCCUAUCAGCUAGUUGGUGAGGUAAUGGCUCACCAAGGCGUCGACGGGUAGCCGGCCUGAGAGGGUGACCGGCCACACUGGGACUGAGACACGGCCCAGACUCCUACGGGAGGCAGCAGUGGGGAAUAUUGCACAAUGGGCGCAAGCCUGAUGCAGCAACGCCGCGUGAGGGACGACGGCCUUCGGGUUGUAAACCUCUUUUAGCAGGGAAGAAGCGAAAGUGACGGUACCUGCAGAAAAAGCACCGGCUAACUACGUGCCAGCCGCCGCCGUAACAC
rnacentral:rRNA from 1 species